rnacentral:lncRNA from 1 species
GGUAGGAUUUAAUGCUUUCUGUCUUAUUUCUAGAAGUGUGGGGGUUGUUAUCUUGUCAACUCUUAAGCUAGUUUGAGCACGUUUCAGUUUCUGUGGCUGUAGCAAAGCAGAUUUAUCAGCUGCUUUGCAGAGAACUGCAGAGUGCAGGUACUUAGGCUUCCCAGUCUGGUGCACUGGUGCUGCAAAUGGGGGCGAAUCUUGGAGCUCUUUGGGCUAGGGAGGCAGGAAAACCACCCCCUGCUUGCUGCUGGGGGCACCUGAUCCUAUAGCAACACCUUGGAGCUGGGGGAGGAGGAUGAGGACUCCAUGCUUGUCUGGUGGGACGCGUCCUAAAGCCCCCUGAGCAGGAGGUCUGGGCCACCUGAACUUAACACAGUGCCACGUGGCGUCAGCCUUAUCCAUGGCCUCUGCAUUUGCUCUGACAGUUUGUUUAGCUUUAGUUCUUGUCGUUUAAGAGCUCAGCAGCACAAUCUGCUGCCUCUGUAUCUUUCCUUCCUGACCUGCUGCUUGUGGCCCUGUAGUCAUCUCUGAUGGGCAAGCAUGAUGCCAGGUGGGAAGGGGAUGCUGCUGGUGGGAGGAGGAGAGGGCAGCGAGCAUUCUCGUGGGCUGUGAGGCCCAUGCUGGCUGGGUGCCGUGGGAGCAGGACCUGUGAGAACACCCAGUGAGAACUGCCCAUCAGCGUGGUGCCAGGAUGACAAGCUGAGCAUCGCUGCCGUCAGCAAGGACUGAUGAUCAGUGGUGAUGUGCACGCAGGAGCAGCUCUUCCUGUUGCUCAUCCACGUCUCCCCGUUCUCUCACCUGCUGCAAACCCUCUCUCCAUCCAGCUCGGGACCAGCCUGUUCCAAGAAGAGCCCCUGCCGUACCUCGUGUACCAGCCCCUGCCCUGGCAGAUCCAGUGUGUGACGCAGAGCCGCCGCACCAGCCGGGACAGCGACAGAGGCAGGAGUUCACGUCACAACAGCAUCUACUCAAUUUCUGGAGAUAAAGGUGAGUGUGGAGCUGGGGGGGAGGCAGUGCUGUCAGCAGACAGCAGCAUGCGUGUGUUUGAUCCCUGCCUCCCCAUUCCCAUGCAACCUGCCCCACUGCAACACGUGGCUUGGGCUGUCCCCCACUUUUCC